UGCUUAACCGAUUCGCAUUCGAUCCCAAUAGUGGCUGGAGUUAAGAUCGUGUCGGUUAAGCUACUCAACAGCCCCCUUAACAGUUGAAGUCGCGAUGAAGUGCGUGUGGCUUGUUUUGCUCAGUUUAUUAGCAAUUUUUACGGUACAUGAGUGCCUCACAGUGUUGCUGCCGCCUCCAAACUUUUGCCCACAAGGACAGCGCCGGGACCAUCGGGGCGUGUGCCGCCAAAUCUUUGAUUGGCACGACUUUGAUGCAAUCAGUGCGUAACAACGCAGCAAAACACAUCACUCAAGCCGUGAGCUGCUUGGCGGUGAAGUGUUCGAAUGACCCUGUGUUCCAUCGUGUGUGAGACUCAGUGAGAGGAGUUUAAAUUAAUUUUUAAAGUCAAAACAUUGUUAAAAAUGUGCGUUAAAAAAGCGGUCGUUACUUAAAAGAUUCCUCUUCAAUUAUUCUAUUGAUGACAACACAACCAGAGUUUAGUGUUAAAUCGUUCAACCGUGCAAAUUUAAUUCAGUAUAAGUGAUAAGGAAAAAAGAGCUGCAAAAAACACACUGUCGGUGGUCAAAGCUUUUUGCGGAGCUAAUUUCUUAAGACCUAAGCAUCGAUCAUGGAUUUAGAGGCUUGCUAAGUCUCCCUCUCAGUCGCAAAGCCGCCAUUUUAUUAUAUCGUCCAAACCCCCGGUUCCUGCCUAACGUUGUGCAACGCUGCCAACGAGCUGUCAGCUUUAGGACAGACUAAUUGAAUUAUUUACCACCACUGCAACAAUCUUGCCAUCCGCCAAACCCGUCCGGCAAAACGGGUUGGGUGAAUGAUGAGUUCAUUUUCUGCUGCUGCAUCGAUUCAUUGGACGGUGGAUUUAAAUGGUUCGCGCGCGCUGCUCCCAAACCACUGCCACCGGAGCCGCUGGACCAUAAAUUAUGCACAUUGCUGUUUAGGAGUUCAUUAA